GUGAUAAAGUCAUUCGUGUUGUUCCUGAGAGUGAGAGGGAGACACAGAUCCUGAAGGCUGCAUUUAACAGGCUUAAGGUGGACUUGUGGCAGCCCAGCAGCACCUUCCACAUCUCUGAAGGUACGGUCAUCGAUGUGCAUGUGCCACAGAACACGUCCCGAAGUCUGCUACCCUUCCUCCAGCAAGCCAACAUCCACUACACGAUUCUCAUAUCAGAUCUACAGAAAGCAAUAGAAAACCAAACAGGACAGAGGGCAUCGAGGCAUCGAAGGUCUCUACCUGCAUAUAACUAUGAAGUAUAUCACUCCCUGGAAGAAGUAC